rnacentral:rRNA from 1 species
GGACAAGAAUANGCUUCNGCUUUGUGUCUCACANGCGAUUUCUCCACGGCCACGGAAGAGUGGUCUUGGUAUUUCGCGUAUUGUAAUUUCAACACGAGCGGGGUCAAAUCCUUUGCAGACGACUUAGCUGUGCGAAACGGUCCUGUAAGCAGUAGAGUAGCCUUGUUGUUACGAUCUGCUGAGGGUAAGCCGUCCUU